CCAACUCAGAGCUGCAUCUGUCAGCUUUAAAGCAGAACAGGAUGGGAAGUUCACCUGAGCUACCCACAAAUCCUGGGAGCCUGUGUGAUCCUGCAGACCUGCUUUUCUCUCCAGUUCCCUGCUGACCGUGACAGUACUUCCUCACCUCAGAUUGUCUAUAUCUCACCCUGACAGGCUUGGUUUCCGUUCACCCUGCCUAGACACUUCUAUUUCCGGAGUAUCCGAGGUCUGUGGUGCUGGCUCAUUCUGCCCCCAACCCAGGGCUCCUGCUGGGAACUGGCCUUCCUGCUGAGAUGUGGGAGAAGAGCCAGAAAUAAAACCAGCCGCUAAAGUCUGGCAGUGAUGGGAUGCUCAUUGUCAUGUUCAGCCCCCUCCUCUGCUGGCCAGACCUACUGUCAUGUCCCUGUGUAGAUUCGCUAGAUUUCUCUGGGAAACCAAUAUCCCGAGAGUGAUGAGGCUGCUUGUUAAGCUGCUUGGUGGGAGGAAGGUAAUCACAGGGCUUCUCCGUGGAGUUGUCUAAUGUCCAGUGGUCUGUAUAAGAGAAGCUAUACAGGUUGCUUUUCCUUGGAUCUUUCUCUGGCUUCUUCCCUCCCCUAAUUCCUCCAUUUCCCCUCUGUCUACUUCCCUGAAUGUUUACAUGGCUCAGGUCUGAAAUCCUUUCUAAGGGGAUGCCAACAGAUGGAGUUACAUCUUGAGAGUGAGAGCAGGUGAGGAGCAGUUGGAAAAAAUUGCAGCACCAAAGAGCACAGAGGUGGGGCCUGGGGAGGACUAUCUGGAAGGAGGUCUCUGCAUAUGAGUGCAGAGUGGGGACCUUGGAAGAAGUCACAGAGUGACAGAAGUCAGCCCCACUUUUCUAUCCAUCCAAACUUAGUGCCUGCCUUGACCAGGGACCGUGCGUGUCCUUGUCCCUUGGGAGCUUACAUUCUAGCCAACCAAUAAGCACACAAGGUAGAUUAUAGAGUUAGCUACAUGAAAUACUCUGGGGGCAGGGAAGAGUAGGGCGGCACAAGGGAAACUGAGAAUCUUGUCAGGGUAAAGGGAGAUGCAUCAAUUCAUCAUCUUGCGGUAUGGAGAUUGAACCCAGGGGCUCUCUACUGCUGAGCUGCAUCCCCAGCCCUUCUCAUUUUCUUUUGGGACAGGAUCUUACUAAGUUGCUGAGGCUGGCCUUGAACUUGAGAUCCUCCUGCCUCAGCCUCCCAAGACACAGAUUACGGGCGUACACCACCACAGCCAGCUAAGAUGCAAUUUAAACAAGGACAUUUGAGCAGAGAUUUGAAGAAGGUGAUCAAGUGAGCAUGUGAGUGUCUAGAGGAAGUAUUCAGGCAGAAGUGACAGCAAAUGCAAAGGUCCUGGGGCAGAAGCAUGUCUAGUAUGUUGAAGGAUCACCAGGCAGUCAGUUUGGCAAUAUCAGAGUGAUCAAAGCUGGGAAUAGUAAAUCAGAGGUUACAGAGGCACCAGACCAUCCAGAGCUUAGACUAUUGUAAGAACUCAGUGAGAAUGGGUACCAUUUUCAGCAGGAGAGAUACAUGAUCUGACUUCUGUUUUGACAGCAUUACAAGCUGCUACAUUGAACAUAGACCACAGGGUGCAGGGUGGGAGCUAGGAGACCUGUAAGGAGCUAGUGCCACAAUCCAGGUGAGAGGUGAUGGUGACUCAAACCAGAGUGGAGUCGGCUGCAUGCUGCACAGAUGAGGACAAAUUGGGAGCCUUUAAAAGGCCUGAGGGCCCCUGUUUCUCUGAAGUCAUGGACUGCCCACCCCAACAGAAGCUCCCCUUCUCUCUUGUCCUUUUAUGGGAUCUGUCAGCCCUUCCUGUUCUCACAUGUCCACAGUACACUGGAGGGGUGCCGUCACAGGUCUUCUGGGUGACAGAGUGGCAGUGGGGAACUCGAGACGGCUCUGUUGAGAAGCAAUGGGUGAGUCAGAGACCUCCAGCAGGCCAUGGUCAUACCAUUGACACCUGCAUGGAUGUCCCUGCUGUUGAGGGACAGUGAGGAGGGUCCAGUUGAUGUUCAGGUGUCAGUGUGACUAACGGAGUUGAGGCAGCUGAAACCUCUGCAGGUACCAGUAUUUCCUUGGCAGGGGUCCCCUCCUAUCAUGGAUUUUGUGGACGAGAGGUAGUGAGUCGGAGCUGGCAUGUGCCGGGCCCCUCCUCGCCACCUGCACCACGUGGGCGCCUUUCUUUGCCGUGUGCACUGUGGAGCGCCAGCUCUUGAAGCUCAGUCUCUCCUGUCAUCCAGCCGAGGGAGCCAAGGCUCAGAGAGGUAGAAGCACUUCUCCCAGAGACAGAUGUGAACCUAGCCCUGCCCUUGCCACCAUAUGGCACCCCUCAGUCAGGACGGUUAUAUAAUUAUCAGUGGGACCAAAGCCACCAACUGGAGACUGCCAGUGUCAGUCAUUUGCAAGAGUGAUGGGCACCCUGCUCCCAACCCCAGUCUCUUGGGUGGUGACAGCUUGCUUAUGUUUCAGCCCAGACCCUCUGGGUCCAUCUGGCCUGGAGGCACACUGAACCAACUGAUUUGGG
rnacentral:lncRNA from 1 species